rnacentral:rRNA from 1 species
GAUGAACGCUGGCGGUAUGCUUAACACAUGCAAGUCGAACGGGAGACUUCGGUUUCUAGUGGCGGACGGGUGAGUAACGCGUGAGAAUCUGCCUUUAGGACGGGGACAACAGUUGGAAACGGCUGCUAAAACCCGAUGUGCCCUUCGGGGUGAAAUAUUUAUAGCCUGAAGAUGAGCUCGCGUCUGAUUAGCUAGUUGGUAAGGUAAAGGCUUACCGAGGCGACGAUCAGUAACUGGUCUGAGAGGAUGACCAGUCACACUGGGACUGAGACACGGCCCAGACUCCUGCGGGAGGCAGCAGUGGGGAAUUUUCCGCAAUGGGCGCAAGCCUGACGGAGCAAUACCGCGUGAGGGAGGAAGGCUCUUGGGUCGUAAACCUCUUUUAUCAGGGAAGAACACAAUGACGGUACCUGAUGAAUCAGCAUCGGCUAACUCCGUGCCAGCAGCCGCGGUAAUACGGAGGAUGCAAGCGUUAUCCGGAAUUAUUGGGCGUAAAGCGUCCGCAGGUGGUUUUGAAAGUUUGCUGUCAAAGCGCGAGGCUCAACUUCGUACCGGCGGUGAAAACUUCAAGACUAGAGUUUGGUAGGGGUCACGGGAAUUCCCAGUGUAGCGGUGAAAUGCGUAGAUAUUGGGAAGAACACCAGCGGCGAAAGCGCGUGACUGGGCCUGAACUGACACUCAUGGACGAAAGCUAGGGGAGCGAAAGGGAUUAGAUACCCCUGUAGUCCUAGCCGUAAACGAUGACAACUAGGUGUUGCCCG